rnacentral:rRNA from 1 species
CACGGAUCCAGACUUUGAUCAUGGCUCAGAUUGAACGCUGGCGGCAGGCCUAACACAUGCAAGUCGAGCGGUAGCACAGAGAGCUUGCUCUCGGGUGACGAGCGGCGGACGGGUGAGUAAUGUCUGGGAAACUGCCUGAUGGAGGGGGAUAACUACUGGAAACGGUAGCUAAUACCGCAUAACGUCGCAAGACCAAAGUGGGGGACCUUCGGGCCUCAUGCCAUCAGAUGUGCCCAGAUGGGAUUAGCUAGUAGGUGGGGUAACGGCUCACCUAGGCGACGAUCCCUAGCUGGUCUGAGAGGAUGACCAGCCACACUGGAACUGAGACACGGUCCAGACUCCUACGGGAGGCAGCAGUGGGGAAUAUUGCACAAUGGGCGCAAGCCUGAUGCAGCCAUGCCGCGUGUGUGAAGAAGGCCUUCGGGUUGUAAAGCACUUUCAGCGGGGAGGAAGGCGGUGAGGUUAAUAACCUCAUCGAUUGACGUUACCCGCAGAAGAAGCACCGGCUAACUCCGUGCCAGCAGCCGCGGUAAUACGGAGGGUGCAAGCGUUAAUCGGAAUUACUGGGCGUAAAGCGCACGCAGGCGGUCUGUCAAGUCGGAUGUGAAAUCCCCGGGCUCAACCUGGGAACUGCAUUCGAAACUGGCAGGCUAGAGUCUUGUAGAGGGGGGUAGAAUUCCAGGUGUAGCGGUGAAAUGCGUAGAGAUCUGGAGGAAUACCGGUGGCGAAGGCGGCCCCCUGGACAAAGACUGACGCUCAGGUGCGAAAGCGUGGGGAGCAAACAGGAUUAGAUACCCUGGUAGUCCACGCUGUAAACGAUGUCGAUUUGGAGGUUGUGCCCUUGAGGCGUGGCUUCCGGAGCUAACGCGUUAAAUCGACCGCCUGGGGAGUACGGCCGCAAGGUUAAAACUCAAAUGAAUUGACGGGGGCCCGCACAAGCGGUGGAGCAUGUGGUUUAAUUCGAUGCAACGCGAAGAACCUUACCUGGUCUUGACAUCCACAGAACUUUCCAGAGAUGGAUUGGUGCCUUCGGGAACUGUGAGACAGGUGCUGCAUGGCUGUCGUCAGCUCGUGUUGUGAAAUGUUGGGUUAAGUCCCGCAACGAGCGCAACCCUUAUCCUUUGUUGCCAGCGGUUAGGCCGGGAACUCAAAGGAGACUGCCAGUGAUAAACUGGAGGAAGGUGGGGAUGACGUCAAGUCAUCAUGGCCCUUACGACCAGGGCUACACACGUGCUACAAUGGCAUAUACAAAGAGAAGCGACCUCGCGAGAGCAAGCGGACCUCAUAAAGUAUGUCGUAGUCCGGAUUGGAGUCUGCAACUCGACUCCAUGAAGUCGGAAUCGCUAGUAAUCGUAGAUCAGAAUGCUACGGUGAAUACGUUCCCGGGCCUUGUACACACCGCCCGUCACACCAUGGGAGUGGGUUGCAAAAGAAGUAGGUAGCUUAACCUUCGGGAGGGCGCUUACCACUUUGUGAUUCAUGACUGGGGUGAAGUCGUAACAAGCUAACCGUAAGCUUCAC